rnacentral:rRNA from 1 species
AUGUGUGGGGGUCUUGGCAUCCAAACGAGGGGAAAAAGCUCCUUUCCGGCCAUGAUUCUUCCCGAUUCAGUUCGCGGAUGGCAGUCGACCUGGUUCUACUGCAAAGACCAGUCGACGCCAGGGCAAUCGACUGGCCUCCCUCCCUUUACCAUGGACCGAGUGGAGAAACCCUCCCCUUUGAAGGUGCUCCCGGAGGAGAAGGCGCACGUGAAGGUGUUGGUCAACCGAGUGGUCCAGCUCAUUCGUGACGGGGUCACUGGUAUGGAUCUCUUGGAGAUCUUCCUUCAGCGGCGCAUCCAGCCUCUCCAAGCCUGA